rnacentral:rRNA from 1 species
GACGAACGCUGGCGGCGUGCUUAACACAUGCAAGUCGAACGGAAAGGCCCUGCUUUUGUGGGGUGCUCGAGUGGCGAACGGGUGAGUAACACGUGAGUAACCUGCCCUUGACUUUGGGAUAACUUCAGGAAACUGGGGCUAAUACCGGAUAGGAGCUCCUGCUGCAUGGUGGGGGUUGGAAAGUUUCGGCGGUUGGGGAUGGACUCGCGGCUUAUCAGCUUGUUGGUGGGGUAGUGGCUUACCAAGGCUUUGACGGGUAGCCGGCCUGAGAGGGUGACCGGCCACAUUGGGACUGAGAUACGGCCCAGACUCCUACGGGAGGCAGCAGUGGGGAAUAUUGCACAAUGGGCGGAAGCCUGAUGCAGCAACGCCGCGUGCGGGAUGACGGCCUUCGGGUUGUAAACCGCUUUCGCCUGUGACGAAGCGUGAGUGAGGGUAAUGGGUAAAGAAGCACCGGCUAACUACGU